GUUCCCAGAUGAAAAUGGAUGACCAAAGUUAGAACAGAGGAGGAGAAAGCGACACCAGCAAAUACCUUCUGUGAAAACGGCAGAAAGAUUAUUGAAGAAUAAAGGAAGUUAAAUGAUUGCCAGAGGCAGCAAUUAAUGCAAACAAAAGAAUUAUUUUUAAGAACAUAAUGUCAGAAGGAAGUAGACUUCGUAGGUGUCAGUGUGAUGCAGUUUCAUGGAUUUCCUGCCUUCUUUUAAAUAAACGUCACAUAUAAAAGAUAAGACAUGGACACUUUGGAAGGUUCUUUCCAAGAGAGGGCCUAUGUUGCUGCCACUACCAUCCAGUGAAAGGCUGAGCUGUGACUCCUACACAUCACUUUCCUCCUCCUAGUCAUUCUCAGCAAGAUGAACCUCUGGUGAAGUAUGCUGAAGUUUACCUGAAGAAGACUUGAGCUGAAUUUUUCUACCUGACCCUACUGUCCUAAUAAGGGCUUCUCCAGAGUCCUGUAAUAUCCUGGGAAUUUUGUUGAUGGCUGAAAGAUUAUAAACUGUCUUUCCUAAGUUUUAUAUUGUAAUAAAAAUUUUAUAUUGUCAGUGACUCA
rnacentral:lncRNA from 1 species